rnacentral:rRNA from 1 species
UACGUAGGGUGCGAGCGUUAAUCGGAAUUACUGGGCGUAAAGCGUGCGCAGGCGGUUUUUUAAGUCUGAUGUGAAAUCCCCGGGCUUAACCUGGGAAUGGCAUUUGGGACUGCAAGGCUUGAGUGCGGCAGAGGAGACUGGAAUUCCUGGUGUAGCAGUGAAAUGCGUAGAUAUCAGGAGGAACACCGAUGGCGAAGGCAGGUCUCUGGGCUGACACUGACGCUCAUGCACGAAAGCGUGGGGAGCAAACAGG